rnacentral:rRNA from 1 species
AUUGAACGCUGGCGGCAGGCCUAACACAUGCAAGUCGAACGAGUGGCGGACGGGUGAGUAAUGUCUGGGAAACUGCCCGAUGGAGGGGGAUAACUACUGGAAACGGUAGCUAAUACCGCAUACCAUCGGAUGUGCCCAGAUGGGAUUAGCUCGUGGGUGGGGUAACGGCUCACCUAGGCGACGAUCCCUAGCUGGUCUGAGAGGAUGACCAGGCACACUGGAACUGAGAGCCGGUACAGACUAAUACGGGAGGCAGCAGUGGGGAAUAGUGCACAAUGGGCGCAAGCCUGAUGCAGCCAUGCCGCGUGUAUGAAGAAGGCCUUCGGGUUGUAAAGUACUUUCAGCGAGGAGGCGUUACUCGCAGAAGAAGCACCGGCUAACUCCGUGUCAGCAGCCGCGGUAAUUC